rnacentral:rRNA from 2 species
UUAAGUGACGAAGCGUAUACGGUGGAUGCCUUGGCAGUUAGAGGCGAUGAAGGACGUGUAAGUCUGCGAAAAGCUGUGGUGAGCCGACAAAAUGCAUUUGAGCCACAGAUGUCCGAAUGGGGAAACCCACCUGUUUACAGGUAUCGUUACGUGAAUACAUAGCGUAACGAGGCGAACGAGGGGAACUGAAACAUCUAAGUACCCUUAGGAAAAGAAAUCAAACGAGAUUCCCCUAGUAGCGGCGAGCGAACGGGGAACAGCCCUUAAGCUGUUUAGUGUGUAGUGGAAUCCUUUGGGAAGAGGAGCGAUACAGGGUGAUAGCCCCGUACACAAAGCGUGCUUUACAGUGAAAUCGAGUAGGUCGGGACACGUGUUAUCUUGACUGAAUAUGGGGGGACCAUCCUCCAAGGCUAAAUACUCCUAACUGACCGAUAGUGAACCAGUACCGUGAGGGAAAGGCGAAAAGAACCCCUGUGAGGGGAGUGAAAUAGAACCUGAAACCGUAUACGUACAAGCAGUGGGAGCCACUUCGUGUGGUGACUGCGUACCUUUUGUAUAAUGGGUCAGCGACUUAUAUUUAGUAGCAAGGUUAAGCGAAUAGCGGAGCCGUAGCGAAAGCGAGUGUUAACUGCGCGUUUAGUUGCUAGGUAUAGACCCGAAACCCGGUGAUCUAGCCAUGAGCAGGUUGAAGGUUGAGUAACAUCAACUGGAGGACCGAACCCACUAACGUUGAAAAGUUAGGGGAUGACUUGUGGCUGGGGGUGAAAGGCCAAUCAAACCGGGAGAUAGCUGGUUCUCCCCGAAAUCUAUUUAGGUAGAGCCUCGGACGAAUUCCAUUGGGGGUAGAGCACUGUUAAGGCUAGGGGGUCAUCCCGACUUACCAACCCUUUGCAAACUCCGAAUACCAAUGAGAACUAUCCGGGAGACACACGGCGGGUGCUAACGUCCGUCGUGGAGAGGGAAACAACCCAGACCGCCAGCUAAGGUCCCAAAAUAUUGCUAAGUGGGAAACGAUGUGGGAAGGCACAGACAGCUAGGAGGUUGGCUUAGAAGCAGCCACCCUUUAAAGAAAGCGUAAUAGCUCACUAGUCGAGUCGGCCUGCGCGGAAGAUGUAACGGGGCUAAGCAAUAUACCGAAGCUGCGGCAGCAUGUUUACAUGCUGGGUAGGGGAGCGUUGUGUAAGUGGAUGAAGGUGAGUUGUAAAGCUUGCUGGACAUAUCACAAGUGCGAAUGCUGACAUGAGUAACGAUAAUGGGAGUGAAAAACUCCCACGCCGGAAGACCAAGGUUUCCUGUCCCAUGCUAAUCAGGGCAGGGUAAGUCGGCCCCUAAGGCGAGGCAGAAAUGCGUAGUCGAUGGGAAACGGAUUAAUAUUUCCGUACUUAUAUAAUCAGUGAUGGAGGGACGGAGAAGGCUAGGCAAGCUUGGCGUUGGUUGUCCAAGUGAAAGUGAGUAGGCUAGUGACUUAGGUAAAUCCGGGUCGCUCUUUAAAAGAGAAUGCCGAGACACGAGACGAGCUCCCAAGGGAGUGAAGUUGUUGAUGCCCUGCUUCCAGGAAAAGCUUCUAAACUUAUGAUUAUAUGAACCGUACCCCAAACCGACACAGGUGGUCAGGUAGAGAAUACUAAGGCGCUUGAGAGAACUCGGGUGAAGGAACUCGGCAAAAUUGUACCGUAACUUCGGGAGAAGGUACGCCUCUGUUUGUGAACACUUUACGUGGUAAGCAAAUGGAGGCCGCAGUGACCAGGUGGCUGGGACUGUUUAUUAAAAACACAGCACUCUGCAAACUCGUAAGAGGACGUAUAGGGUGUGACACCUGCCCGGUGCCGGAAGGUUAAUUGAUGGGGUUAGUCCUCGGACGAAGCUCUUGAUCGAAGCCCCGGUAAACGGCGGCCGUAACUAUAACGGUCCUAAGGUAGCGAAAUUCCUUGUCGGGUAAGUUCCGACCUGCACGAAUGGUGUAACCAUGGCCACGCUGUCUCCACCCGAGACUCAGUGAAAUUGAAAUCGCAGUGAAGAUGCUGUGUACCCGCACCUAGACGGAAAGACCCCGUGAACCUUUACUACAGCUUGGCACUGAACAUUGAACCUACAUGUGUAGGAUAGGUGGGAGGCUUUGAAGCACAGUCGCUAGAUUGUGUGGAGCCGUCCUUGAAAUACCACCCUUGUAUGUUUGAUGUUCUAACAUUGGCCCUUUAUCGGGGUUGUGGACAGUGUCUGGUGGGUAGUUUGACUGGGGCGGUCUCCUCCCAAAUAGUAACGGAGGAGCACGAAGGUUAGCUAAUCACGGUCGGACAUCGUGAGGUUAGUGCAAUGGCAUAAGCUAGCUUAACUGCGAGACAGACACGUCGAGCAGGUACGAAAGUAGGUCAUAGUGAUCCGGUGGUUCUGUAUCACCUCGAUGUCGGCUCAUCACAUCCUGGGGCGUGAAGUCGGUCCCAAGGGUAUGGCUGUUCGCCAUUUAAAGUGGUACGCGAGCUGGGUUUAGAACGUCGUGAGACAGUUCGGUCCCUAUCUGGUGUGGGCGUUGGAUGAUUGAUGGGAGCUGCUCCUAGUACGAGAGGACCGGAGUGGACGAACCGCUGGUGUUCGGGUUGUCAUGCCAAUGGCAUUGCCCGGUAGCUAUGUUCGGAACGGAUAACCGCUGAAAGCAUCUAAGCGGGAAGCCGGCCCAAAGAUGAGUCAUCCCUGACCUUUAAGGUCUGGAAGGGUUGUUAUAGACGAUGACGUUGAUAGGCAGGGUGUGGAAGCGUUGUAAGGCGUUAAGCUAACCUGUACUAAUUGCCCGAGAGGCUUAACCAU